CUUGGUCAUUUAGAGGAAGUAAAAGUCGUAACAAGGUCUCCGUAGGUGAACCUGCGGAGGGAUCAUUACAGAGUUCAUGCCCGUCACGGGUAGAUCUCCCACCCUGUGUUAUCAUCACUUUGUUGCUUUGGCGGGCCGUCAGGCCUCGGCCUGGCUACCGGCGCUCGCUGGUACGCGCCCGCCAGAGGACCCCAAACCCUGAAUAUCAGUGUCGUCUGAGUACUAUUACAAUAGUUAAAACUUUCAACAACGGAUCUCUUGGUUCUGGCAUCGAUGAAGAACGCAGCGAAAUGCGAUAAGUAAUGUGAAUUGCAGAAUUCAGUGAAUCAUCGAAUCUUUGAACGCACAUUGCGCCCCUUGGUAUUCCGAGGGGCAUGCCUGUUCGAGCGUCAUUACAACCCUCAAGCACAGCUUGGUCUUGGGCUCCGCCGCUUUCCCGGCGGGCCUUAAAAUCAGUGGCGGUGCCGUCGAGGCCCUGAGCGUAGUAAACAUCCUCGCUAUAGGGACCCGGCGGACGCUGGCCAGCAACCCCAACUCUCCAUGUUUGACCUCGGAUCAGGUAGGGAUACCCGCUGAACUUAAGCAUAUCAAUAAGCGGAGGA
rnacentral:rRNA from 1 species